rnacentral:rRNA from 1 species
GAUCAUGGCUCAGAUUGAACGCUGGCGGCAGGCCUAACACAUGCAAGUCGGGCGGUAGCACAGAGAGCUUGCUCUCGGAUGACGAGCGGCGGACGGGUGAGUAAUGUCUGGGAAACUGCCUGAUGGAGGGGGAUAACUACUGGAAACGGUAGCUAAUACCGCAUAAUGUCGCAAGACCAAAGUGGGGGACCUUCGGGCCUCAUGCCAUCAGAUGUGCCCAGAUGGG